rnacentral:rRNA from 1 species
AUUGAACGCUGGCGGCAUGCCUUACACAUGCAAGUCGAACGGCAGCGGACCUUCGGGUGCCGGCGAGUGGCGAACGGGUGAGUAAUGCAUCGGAACGUGCCAUUGAGUGGGGGAUAACGUAGCGAAAGUUGCGCUAAUACCGCAUAUUCUGUGAGCAGGAAAGCAGGGGACCGCAAGGCCUUGCGCUCUUUGAGCGGCCGAUGUCAGAUUAGCUAGUUGGUGAGGUAACGGCUUACCAAGGCGACGAUCUGUAGCGGGGUCUGAGAGGAUGAUCCGCCACACUGGAACUGAGACACGGUCCAGACUCCUACGGGAGGCAGCAGUGGGGAAUUUUGGACAAUGGGGGCAACCCUGAUCCAGCCAUGCCGCGUGAGUGAAGAAGGCCUUCGGGUUGUAAAGCUCUUUCGGCCGGGAAGAAAUCGCAUGGGUUAAUACCCUGUGUGGAUGACGGUACCGGCAUAAGAAGCACCGGCUAACUACGUG